GGCCGCUCUCUAUUUCUCGUAAUCGGGAAGCUGGUUUGGGGAUUAUUAGGAUUAGGGUUUUGGCUGAGCGACCGAUCGAUCUAUUUCUUCCGAUCUCAUCAGGUUCUUGAUUUGUCCAGCGUUUUUUCUCCGCGCUAAUCUCUUAAAUCCAGCGUUUUGUUUGCAGAUGGACUGGCAAGGGCAGAAGCGCGCGGAGAUUCUGAUGCAGAUCAUGCUCGUCGUGUCGGCGGUCGCUGCUUUCGGCGUCGGAUACACCAUCGGCUCCUUUCGGACGAUGAUGCUUGCAUACGCCGGUGGAGUCGUGCUUACUACGCUGAUCACCGUGCCCAACUGGCCCUUCUUCAAUCGCCACCCCUUGAAGUGGUUGGAUCCGAGCGAAGCGGAGCGUCAUCCGAAGCCACAGGUGAACUCUGCUGCCGCUUCUUCCAAGAAGAAAGCAGCAAAGCACAAGUAGGAGUCAGUAUUCUGGCACCGAUGAGCAUGUCAUUGGGGCUUAUGCUGUUCGAAUUCUAUUUGCGGAGUCAUGUUGUGGCAGUGCCUUAUGCUUUCCGUGAUGUUGUCUCAAAGCAACUUUAGCAUCACAUAUCCAUUGAGCUAAUUGUUAACUCAUACUUCAAACUUCUAAGUAUUUUAGCUAAGCCUUAUGUUGUCUUUCUUUUCCUUA